UGCAUACUAAUUAACAUAUGCUGGUAAACCCAAUUCUUCCAAAACCUGAGAUAUCAUGGGCUGUUAACCCAACCCAUUGGACAAUUUCUUCGCUUUGGUUAUUUCUCUCAAUAACUUCUCUUUGUCGAUGAUACUCUGUUUUCAUGGCUUUCGCAUGCUUCCCAGAAGUUGAUUUUCCGGAUCCUUUCAAGCGUAAAUCCACUAGAUAUCUUCACAUCCUGUUCUGGGUUCACUUGAUGCCUUUUUUUCUAUUCUUUUUUUUUUUUUGUUAAUUUGUAAUGGGUUGUUUCAUUUUUGGCUAAUUUUGUUAUUAGUGUUUGUUUUGAUUUGUAUCAAUUAGAAAGCACGCAUUCGAAUUUGGCUUUUCGAGCAGAAGGGUUGAGGAUCAAAGGGUGAACCAUUGCUUUUGAUGAGUACAUGAUUUUGUGCUUGAUGAUACGGAAGUCCACAUCAAGAACAAUAGCACGAAUUCAUUAGGUGUAUCAUUCUUCUCUUAUUUUUAAUCCUUCUAAUCUCAUUUUUAUGCUCCCUAUCUCUGCUUAAUUUCACAGGAAGGAUUCUUCUCAGUUUUGACAGCAUAACUCUGAUCAUGAACAUGGAGAAACUGCUGAACAUCCCUGCAAUUUUGUAGAUUGGCAUUACGUGCCUUUAACUCCGCAUGUUGAUCGAGUGACAUAGAUUUGCUACUAUUUUUAUGUACUUAGUGGAUUUCGUGUAUGAUAAGCUUCUUGUAUAGAUAUUUUCAACAUUAGAUAUACAGUCAUUAGUUUAAUCCUUUAGGAAUAAUUGUUCUACCAUUUGCCUAAGCGGUUACACUUUCUAUUGCAUCUUUUCUAUCCAUUUAUCAACCUAAAUGGCGAAAGAUUUUUCUCAGA